rnacentral:rRNA from 1 species
GCUUACGGCCAUACCAGCCUGGGUACGCCCGAUCUCGUCUGAUCUCGGAAGCUAAGCCAGGUCGGGCCUGGUUAGUACUUGGAUGGGAGACCGCCUGGGAAUACCAGGUGCUGUAAGCA